CCUACGGGCGGCAGCAGUGGGGAAUAUUGCACAAUGGGGGAAACCCUGAUGCAGCGACGCCGCGUGAAGGAAGAAGUAUUUCGGUAUGUAAACUUCUAUCAGCAGGGAAGAAAAUGACGGUACCUGACUAAGAAUCCCCGGCUAACUACGUGCCAGCAGCCGCGGUAAUACGUAGGGGGCAAGCGUUAUCCGGAUUUACUGGGUGUAAAGGGAGCGUAGGCGGUUUAGCAAGUCAGAAGUGAAAGCCCGGGGCUCAACUCCGGGACUGCUUUUGAAACUGUUGAACUAGAGUGCAGGAGAGGUAAGUGGAAUUCCUGGUGUAGCGGUGAAAUGCGUAGAUAUUAGGAGGAACACCAGUGGCGAAGGCGGCUUACUGGACUGUAAAUGACGCUGAGGCUCGAAAGCGUGGGGAGCAAACAGGAUUAGAUACCCGAGUAGUC
rnacentral:rRNA from 1 species